UUUUUCUAAUGAAGUCCUUGUAAUUGUGUCUCUCCUUGUCUGUCCCAAAUAUGAAUGUGUUGUUUGGUCCCAAAACAUUUUAAUUAGGAUCGAGAUAACUCUUACAUGCAGAAGGUGGCAGUAAUAAAAGGACAGCAGCCAUUAAACCCCAAAGAAGAUUCAGAUGCACCAGAAUGUGCCUCUGUGAGGCCACUUGACCUCCUGACCUUUCAUCAGUUCAUUUUGGCAGAAAGGUUGCACUUGGUGUUUUUUUUUUAAAAAGCUGUUACAGAGCUGUUGAAGUUACUGCUGAAACAAACCCAUGAUGUUACUUAAAAGCUUUACAUCUGGGAACCAAAGGAAAGCUUCUAUUGCCAAGCAGAUACAGGAAACACUAUGUGUUUGCAGCAGAGAAGACAAAUCAAAGAAGAGACAGCACUGAAAGACCCAGACUGUGAUCAGGACAGAUACCUGGCCAGAGCAGAGGGAGGAUCAGCUCAUCAGCUGUUUAAACAACAGCAUUCACUCUGUAACCGUAGCUCAAGGUC